rnacentral:rRNA from 1 species
CCUACGGGAGGCAGCCGUGAGGAAUAUUGGUCAAUGGACGAGAGUCUGAACCAGCCAAGUAGCGUGAAGGAUGACUGCCCUAUGGGUUGUAAACUUCUUUUAUAUGGGAAUAAAAUGUUCCACGUGUGGGAUUUUGUAUGUACCAUAUGAAUAAGGAUCGGCUAACUCCGUGCCAGCAGCCGCGGUAAUACGGAGGAUCCGAGCGUUAUCCGGAUUUAUUGGGUUUAAAGGGAGCGUAGGUGGAUUGUUAAGUCAGUUGUGAAAGUUUGCGGCUCAACCGUAAAAUUGCAGUUGAAACUGGCAGUCUUGAGUACAGUAGAGGUGGGCGGAAUUCGUGGUGUAGCGGUGAAAUGCUUAGAUAUCACGAAGAACUCCGAUUGCGAAGGCAGUUCACUGGACUGCAACUGACACUGAGGCUCGAAAGUGUGGGUAUCAAACAGGAUUAGAUACCCCAGUAGUC